GCGAGGCUGGUGUUCCCGUCAGACACUGCACACACGCCGCCUGCAUGGAGCAGCCGCGAUGCAGCACCGCGCCGAGCCUCAGCGCAGAGACGCGCCGAGCCGCGGGAGCACAGCACCAGACGCAGGGCAGGGCCGUCCGGAACCCGCUUCCUUCCUCUGGGUGAACUCCUGUUUCCAUUCUGCCACCCGCCCGCCCCGUCAGCGCUAAGCUAAUCUGACAAACUGUUGAAGUAAUAAUCGCGCCAGACCCAGCUGAGCCUGGUUCCUCCCCCCACGGCUCCUCGCCUUUACCUCCCUGCUCCUCCUCUUCCUCUCCACUUUGGGUUGUAAAGGGAUUUGCACGCAACAAAAGGACCUCCACAGCACAAACCAGGACUGUGUCUCCUUCUGCACAGAGCUCCCAGGAGCUCCAGCACACAGACUGGAGACUGGAAGCAGACCUACAGCACACAGACGCGGGUUUGGAUUGUUGCUCUGACACACAGACCCGGACCCGGGAUUGGACCUACAGCACACAGACCCGGAGCCGGGAUUGGACCUACAGCACACAGACCUGAAGCCGGGAUUGGACCUACAGCACACAGACCCGGAGCCGGGAUUGGACCUACAGCACACAGAUCCGGAGCCGGGAUUGGACCUACAGAGCAGCUCAGGGACACACAGAGACACCGGCUGUGAAGUUUAUGGAAUUUUCUGCACUCAACCUGCAGUACCAGAAAUCACUGCAAACAACCCGGAGUGCCACCAAGCAUUCCCUGCACCAGCUGCAAGAUAAGAGCUGGAGAUUGUCUGAAAUGCCCUGUGCAUAUCUGAGCAGAGCGUUUCUGCAGAGCCUUCACCUGUAGCCGCUGCUGUGAGGUGAGCCGUGAGGGAAAAGACCCCUGCACAGGAGAGCCCUGCAGCUUUAAGCAUACACUCUGAGCCUCACAGACGCCACACACCCGCUGCUCCUCGCCAGGGGCUGUUUCACGGAGCUGGGACGGGUGGUUGGAGCUCGCAGGCGAACCGAGAGUGCGCUCCUCGCACCUGCUGACGAGCGCCGUGGCAACCGAUGACUCUGCGGUGACUCUGCGGUCACGUUCCGGUGGCGUUCCGGGUGACCGGCUCUGGCUCCCCUGACGUGUCGCCCGUCACGCUCGGCUACGCGCUCGCUCACCUCUGC